AAUUUGAACAUUUCAUUUCAGGGUUUGGGGGAUCCUUACCAAGUUGAAAAUUUUAACAGAAUUCUUAGAAGACUAAUUCGAGUUGAAACCCUCUGGGAUUGCUAGAGAACCCCUUUUACAGGGAGCUGCUAUUUGCUUCAGCAGGCAGAAUGCGUAGGUGGAGUGAGCUUUGGUGGCAAUGAGAGGGGCCAACAGAGGUCCUCAGGAGUGAAUUAGAUGAAGGAAAUUGAGCAUCCACAAAAAGGAAAGAGUAUUCUCCUGUUUGCCAAACUUAAAAAUGCUGGAUGGAAUCUUGAAGCUACCAGAAGAUUGCUUAUCACCAGAAACCAAUAUUUUUUCAAAAAUAUGCCUUGUAUCCUAAUGCAGUCUGUAUAGAAAGAAAGCAAUCAUCAUUGUUGCUAAAAGCUAAUAAACACAGGACAUGCAUGAUUAAA
ensembl:lncRNA LRRC77P leucine rich repeat containing 77, pseudogene